GUAAGGGUGGCAAGGCGCCCGAGAGUCAGGGCUGGAGCUGAAGGUGGGUGACAGGGAGGGGGCGCCCAGGUGUCAGGACCUGAGGAGAAAGAGUGCGCGUAGCGGGAGGGCCCCGAAGUGUCGGGGCGGGAUCCUGGAAGGAGGGAGAACGUGAGGAGGGAGGAAGGGUCCCUGGGGUGUCAGGGAUGGGGGCCAGGAAAGGGGCAGAGAGCUGGAGGCCCACAAGUGGGGAUAGCGGGGGAGGGAGGUUGGAGCGAGUGGGGAACGCAGGUGGUGUCGAGGGCGGGGACAGGGCGAGGGGAGCGGGGCGUGAGGAAGUUGUGGGAAACCGCGCUGGACGCUGAGAAUGUGCGGAAGGAUCCUGAGGGGAGGACGCGAGACAGCGCGAGGAGAGACGAGGAGAGUUAGGGUUGGCCGGGAGGGUGCGAAGAUGAAGCGACCACUGGAGGCUGUGAGGGUGAAAGGAGCAAGAAUCGUCUAGAGACGGGCUGGGCCGGUGCUGGGGCCAAAGGCUUCUGUCUGUCAGGCCCUUUUUGGCGCUCACUCUAGAAAGAAGAGGCGGAGACGCGAAGAGAUCGGGUUAGAGUCAGAUUUUCGAAGCACGGAGAUGGGUUCAAUGAAAGGACGAGGAAAGACGAGAAACCAGCGGCCGGAGAACGGAGGUGGCCGCCGCCGUCCUUUGCUCUGCUCGGGGCUGGGCGCCGCCCGGAGAGCCCUCCCGGAGGGGGCGGGGCGGGGCCGGGUGAACAGAGCUGGGCGGGCUCGCCAGCUCUUCCAGGCGCCCUGGGCAAGCAAUGUGGGUGACUGAGCUCGGGUGUGUGUGCCUGUGUGUGUGUGUGUGUGUGUGUGUGUGUACGUACACAAGUGAGCGUGUGUGCGCACCCCACCCAGCCUUCCACACGCGCGCUGCUUAGUACCAGGCCAUAUUGUGGUCUGAUGAGUAACGUAAGCCUUUGGGGUUUAUAUUUACCUUCUUGAUGUGUAGUAAGUGCUCUCCCUCCUCCCUCUGUUCCCCAGGUACCGUCUGACUAGCUCCCCAUUUAAGAGAGCUGGGGACAGGCAAAGCAGCCCUGGAAGUCUCCUGUGAUUUCUAAGCUUAAAUGUCUAUUUUUCUUUUCUCCCAUGCCUUGUAAUUGGGAAGAGGGAAAAGUUUACUUAAGAGCUGUUUUUUAAAUUAUUACUAACUUGUUUCAAACAACACUCUCAUACUCCAGAUAAUUCAAUUUUCAUCUCUUUGGAGCUGAGCAAACCAGAUGAAAUUAUAUGAAUCCCAGUUUAUUUCAUUUUGUUGUAGAGUUCAACAAUUUUUAUGAAUUUCUAAUCCAACCUCAUCAUCCUAUGGGAAACAGAAGACCACCAAGAACAGCCAGCUGAGACAGAAUUUCACUGUGUUGCCCAAGCCAAUCUUAAACUCCUGGUCUCAAGCGAUCCUCCUGCCUUGGCCUCCCACUGUGCCUGGCCUAUGGACUCUGAAUUUUUUUAAAAGACUGGAAAAAACUUUUAUAAGAGAAUUGGAAAUUUGGACAGUAUCUUGGCAGUAACCUCCUCCAUAUAUUUCCUUGGCCCUCAGCUUACAUCUAGCAAAAUGACUCUACUGGUUCCAGGCUUCACAUGCAUACAACAUGGUGUUGGAGGAACAGAGAUGUUUUCUCUUCCUGGUGUUUUCCCAGACAUUUCUUAGCUGGCAUUUCAAACAAGGGUCCUGAAAUUCACCCUGGUUGGGUCGUGUUCUCCCCUUCCCAUUCCCCAUCCCCACCCUCAACCGAAAAAUGAUGUAAGCAGGGGAAAUUGAAUGUACCAAUGUUUGUUUUUAAACAAGCCACAGACCCCUCCCCAACUCCCCGACUGAAGCUUGAAGUGGGAUCAGCUUUCCCUAAAGUACUUGAGCUUAUGGUAAAGCAUAUAUGUUAUCCAAGUUAAAGUCUGGACGCUGUUAGUAAUGGGAAGGCAAGUAAUGAAUGUUAGCUAUGGAGCCAACAGACAGUGUCCACUCCAUUGUCUUUAAGGCCCAACUAAAGAUAACCUCUUUACCAAUGUCGGUUUAUUUAUUCAUUUAUUUAUUCAUUGAGAUGGAGUCUCACUCUCUCACCCAAGCUGGAGUGCAGUGGAAUGAUCUCAGCUGACUGCAAUUUCUGCCUCCCAGGUUCAAGCAAUCUCCUGCUUCAGCCUCCCAAGUAGCUGGGAUUACAGGCGCACACCACCAUGCCCGGCUAAUUUUUGUAUUUUUAGUAGAGAUAGGGUUUCACCAUGUUGGCCAAGCUGGUCUCGGACACCUGACCUCAAGUGAUCUGCCUGCCUCGGCCCCCAAAGGUGUGAGCCACUGCACCUGGCUACAAUGUCAGUUUCUAUAAAAACUGCCUUGACUUGUUUUGUUUGCUUGUUUUGUUUGUUUGUGUUUUAAUUUUUAUUAUUUUUUUUUAGAGACAGGGUCUCAAUCUGUUGUCUAGGCUUGAGUGCAGUGGUGCAAUCAUAGCUCACUGAAGUGUUGGACUCCCAGGCUCAAGCAGUCCUCCCACCUCAGCCUCCCAAGUAGCUGAGACUACAGGCAUGCACCACCCUGUCUGGCUAAUUUUUUAUUUUUAGUAGAGAUGAGGUCUCACUAUGUUGCCCAAGGUGGCCUCAAACUCCUGGCCUCAAGUACUCCUGUGGCCUUAGCCUCCCAAAGCUCUGGGAUUGCAGGUAUGAGCCGCCAUGCCUGGCCUACUGUAUAUUUUAUGCAUUUGAUAUAAGUCUUGCCUCCCUAAGUAUAUUACAAGUCCCUUGAAGUUAAAGACAUUAGAUUCCUACUCAGUGCUGAGCUGCAACAGAGAGCACUCAAUGAUGGAUAAAAUAGUUUUAGCAUGCAUUCAGCGAUAUAUAUUUAGAAAGUGGAACUAGGUGGUUGAAAAAAGUGUAUAGAUGGGUGGAAGGGAAUAUUACAGCUCUUAGAAUUGUCCUAAGGUGAGAGUAACAAAUUAAGCAAUGAGUCCCUGGGUUCACUCAAGCAACUUCACUCUCUAAAACAAGAGCCCACAGAAUCCCAUUUCUGCUUUCAGAAUGAGUUUGAGGCCAAUAUUAUUUCCAUUUUUUUUCUUUUUCUUUCUUUCUUUUUUUUUUUUUUUUUUUUGAGACGGAGUUUCACUCUUGUUGCCCAGGCUGUUUUGAUCUCGGCUCACUGCAACCUCUGCCCCUGGGUUCAAGCGAUUCUCCUGUCUCAACCUCCCAAGCUGGGAUUACAAGCAUGCGCUACCACACCUGGCUAAUUUUGUAUUUUUAAUAGAGACGGGGUUUCUCUGUGUUGGUCAGGCUGGUCUCAAACUCCCAACCUCAGGUGAUCUGCCCACCUUGGCCCAGCCUCCAAUAUGAUUUUCUAAUAGCUGUGUUUGAUGAUUAUAUUUAUUCCUCCAUCAGUAGCUUUUUUAGCCUUGAAAAUAUCUAUUUAAGUUUCUUAUUUCCUUUGGAUCUAUCAAAGUGUUUUUCCCCAAGUGGCACCUGGGAAAACAUAUUCUAUUCAUUUAUUUUAUAACUGUUCCCUUGACCUCUUUAUUGCUUCCCUAUUACAACCCAAGAUGCUCUUGUAAACCUGACUUAAUAUUGGCAGUCUUCAUCCCUUGCAAAUGGAAGUGAUGACAGACCCAAUACUUUGUGUAAAAAUAUUUUGCUAUUUCUAUACAAAAUAUUUUAUUAAUGGAAACCACAUGUUAUGUAUUUUACAUAUGUUAUGACUUGAAAUUUAUGUUAUGACUUGAAAUUGGGGAAUCUGAUAUGUCUCUAAUAAUAAAGGCUUCACAGUACAACUGUUGUUUGUAGAUUUACAGAUGGCUGGCAUUUUAAUUUUUUAAUUUAAAUUUUUAAUUCAAAUAUGAUUGACCUGAAAUAUUAACAAAAAUUAUCCUUGAAUUGUUGCACUGCAAAAUAAGAAAGCAAAAUCAGCUAUCUAUGAUGCAACAUUUUAUUUAUAAAUUAAGAUUGUUAGCACUCAUCUAUUGAUUUUUCUCUCUAUUAAACAUACUCCUAAUAAUAAAGGGAAGGAAGGAUCUUUGUAAAGUUAAAUUUACCGUAGCAAAGAAUAGAGGUGAUAAUUAAUAACAUGUUAAAACUCCUUUCUAAAAGCAGAUUCAAUAAACAGUAAGUGUUCAAAUAACUACUACAGUUUAUCUUUCUCAAACCUUGAAAAAGAACAUUCCAAGGUAUUAGUUCUAAUAGUUAUUCUGUCUUUUCCACUGGAUUAUUAUGAACUCCUUAAAAACAUGUGAAAU
rnacentral:lncRNA from 1 species